CUCCAUAUAAUUCAUUUAUAUCAGAAAAUAAAUUUCUCAAUGAAUUAUUUGUUAAUAGGAUUCCUUUUUGGAAUGGCAUUAGUACUCUUUUGCUAUGUACACGCAUUGUUGAUAUUAAUUUGUCCAUUUGAUCUAGUAUUUAAUUUUGGUUUUUUAUAUCUAAACCAUACGCCAAACAUUUGGUGCUUUGUGAUACUAGGGAAUUUAACAUAUUAAACCACGCAUCAAUGAUAUUAAAUGUGUCUGACAACUAAACAAGCAUAUCAGGUAAACAUACAUAUUUUAAAACUUAUUUUUUUUAUCUUACUGCUUCUCAAUUACAAUUUUUUUCCAGCGUAUGAAAUAGCUGUUGUGACAGACUUAGAAAAAAGUUGUGCUGCUAACUUUACUUUUUGCCGCAUUGGACGCGAACAAGUCAAAUGGGCAUCAGUAAGCUUAAAUGCCAAUUUCAGAUCUUGCUUGCUCAUGCCCAGCAAUACUUUUACUGAAUUGAUACUUAUGAACUUCUCAGAUUUGUCAUCCAAAAUAAAUCCAUGCUCUAAAAAAUUGUUUCUACAUAAUUUGAGCAAAUGUGGAACAUCAGCAAAAACAUGGACCCUAUGUCCCAUGACUGGAUGUUGGAAAUUUGGAAGAGUGUAGGAAACAUUCAUAUUUUUCCAAAGACCUUGAUUGGUGUGUCAUAAUUGUAGAAAAUGGGUUGUUUCCACUUUGACACCAAUCCUCUGGCCAUGACAACCUGACCAGUUUUAUGAGGACCAAUUACUUGUUCUUUAGUUUUAUCAAACUCAAUUUGAUUGGACAAAUACAUCUCAUCGAAAGAUAAAACAGUUAAUUUAUCAUUGAUCUCCAUAUCCAUUCCUAGUAUUUAUUAAUUGCUAUUUUAGUAUCUGCUGUAGAAGUAUUAACAGGGUCAUUGCUAUUAGACAAAACAAGCCGUACAAAAGAAAGAUUACAUAUUUUUUUACUAAUAAAAUUAAAUAAUGUAUUAUGUAAUUCUUACAUUGUUAGAAAAUAAACUUUUUUUACAGCUACUUGCUGCUUCACAAUUAUCAGUUGAUUCAACUGUCCAAGUGUUGGGUUUCAACUUUUUCAUACUGCUAAGUUUAGCUGGACUUUGUUUUGCCAUGGGACUUUUGUGUGGUGUAAUUAUUUUCCUUGGACUUCUAACUUUAAAGCAUUUAGUUGGUACUGCAUCAAAUUUUAAUUUUCUUUUAUGUUGAGAAGAGUAUUUCAACAACGUCUCAAUUAAAGGCUUUUCAAUACAAGAAUUAUCAAAAUGUUUUGAACAUAUACGAGCUAUUGAAUAACAAUUAAAAAUAAAAAUACAAUACAACAAUUUGCUGUUUUGUCAAUGUCAAUAAAUACCAUUGGUGAAGUUUAAUGGUUUCAUAUGGUUUAGCCUGUUACAAGCUCUUAGCCAUUUUUGACGAAAUUCCUCUUGUUUUGAAAAUGAAUAAAAAUUAAUAUUUUCUGAUUUAAAUUAUAAUCAAAAUUUAAAAAUAAUUAUAAAACAAUUUAAAGUGAUAU